rnacentral:lncRNA from 1 species
CCCGCCUAUCUAGUCACCCCUCAGUGCCUGGAUCAAAAGUAGCAUCAUAGUUAAUGUAGUAAGAAUAGGACUUUACAGAGUUUAUCGUGUUGUUACUGCCUGUGUACCGCAAUUACUAUUUAAAAUGUCUCAAAACCAAUUAGUCAAUUUAAAGUGUCCAUCAUUAUAUGGUCCCACAGAUUCAAGCAGGAUAGAGCAUCACUCAAAAUAAGAAGAUGAAAUGGCACGCCUGAAACAUCAGGAAGAAGAAAAGGGAAACUCAAGCAACCCCAAGAAGCCAGACAAAAAAGAGAAAGACACAAGCAACCCCAAGAAGCCAGACAAAAAAGUGAAAGCUAUUAUUUUCACAGAUUCAAGCAACCCCAAGAAGCCAGACAAAAAAGAGAAAGUGAACAAAGACAAAGAAACAAGUAAACGUAAUGCUGGGACAAGUACUCUCACAUCUGUGACUUUGGUCCUAUUUAUUCUUGCAACUAUGAUGUUCUUUAUGUACAUGACAUUACAGAGGCGAGAGCAAAACUUUCAAACUGCAAUAGAUAUGAUGAGGACAUUCUCUGUUAAGUAUGAUCCAACUUUUCAAACAAAGACUGAUCUUGAAGUAAUUGAAUUAAGUCAAAACCUAUCAAACAGACUGGCCUACUGGACUGAAAAAAACAGAAUACUGCAAGAAGAAAUUGACAAAGUUACUGAAUUGCUUGAGGAAUGGGUGCCAUACAAAAAGAACUUCUACUACUUUUCUGAAGAAGAAGCAGACUGGGAACAUUCCAUAGAAGAGUGUAUAGAGAAAGACUCUGAACUUAUCUCUAUUAUUUACGGUGAGGAAGAGGCCUUUAUAGACCAAGAGACAGCUCGUUUGGGAUAUGGGUACUGGAUUGGGCUCCAAAAGAACAGAAGUGCACCUCAUGGCUUGUUAUGGAUUAAUAACGAAGAGGUUCGAAGACCAUACUGGAAUAUUGACGCUAAACAGCCCAAUAUUGAUGGUGAUUGCAUUUACGUAGUACCAAAAUGCAGAAUUAAAAAAUGUUGGCAUGAUGAUCUCUGCAAUAGGGAAAGAAGGUUUAUUUGCAAAAAGGUUGCCAGGCCAGUAGAUUCUUUUAGAUGAACAGAACAGGAGUCUACUAUCUCAGCGCUGAAAUCACCUGAUGAUGACACCUGAAAGCAAGUUCAUCCUGUCCUAAUCAAUCAAGUGAGUGAACUAGCAGUUAAUUUGAAGUGCCUACCAAUAUCGGUGCUCCUGCUUCGUACUUCUGGUGUUAUUGCCACUGGUCAAAAGAACCACUGUGAUGUUGCCAAUGAAGGUUUGCCAGAUGUAAGCAUAAUUGAGUGGUCUCUUCAUCUCUCAUGACAGGGAAAGAGCAGCAGAGCCAUUCUUCAGUCAGCUGUUGGGGCUAGAGAUGUGUUGAGAAGUGAUACCUCUUCCCCUGGUGAUAUGAAAGAAGAAUUUGCAGAAAUGCCUGUAGACUUCUAUGAAGCGACUCUCAUCUCACUAUGGGUUCACCAUUGUGAGAAAAGAAGACUGAGGGGAAAUAUAAUAGCACUUUUCAAAUACUUGAAAGGCUGUCAUAAAGAGGAGGGGCAGGAUCUGUUCUCAAUCAUCCCAGAGUGCAGAACACAUAAUACUGGGAUCAAGUACAAGAAACCAGAUUUACGUUGAAUAUCAGGAAAAACUUCCGACUGUAUUCCCCGAAAAUAAGACAGAGUCUUAUAUUAAUUUUUG